rnacentral:rRNA from 1 species
UACGUAGGGUGCGAGCGUUAUUCGGAAUUACUGGGCUUAAAGGGUUUGUAGGCGGCCUUAUAAGUCAGGUGUGAAAGCCCUCGGCUCAACCGAGGAAUAGCGCUUGAUACUGUAAGGCUUGAGGGAGACAGGGGUAAGCGGAACUGAUGGUGGAGCGGUGAAAUGCGUUGAUAUCAUCAGGAACACCGGUGGCGAAAGCGGCUUACUGGGUCUCUUCUGACGCUGAGGAACGAAAGCUAGGGUAGCGAACGGG